GAUAAACGCUGGCGGCGUGCCUAAUACAUGCAAGUCGAGCGAACAGACGAGGAGCUUGCUCCUCUGAUGUUAGCGGCGGACGGGUGAGUAACACGUGGAUAACCUCCCUAUAAGACUGGGAUAACUUCGGGAAACCGGAGCUAAUACCGGAUAACAUGUUUAACCGCAUGGUUCAACAGUGAAAGACGGUCUUGCUGUCACUUAUAGAUGGAUCCGCGCCGCAUUAGCUAGUUGGUAAGGUAACGGCUUACCAAGGCAACGAUGCGUAGCCGACCUGAGAGGGUGAUCGGCCACACUGGAACUGAGACACGGUCCAGACUCCUACGGGAGGCAGCAGUAGGGAAUCUUCCGCAAUGGGCGAAAGCCUGACGGAGCAACGCCGCGUGAGUGAAGAAGGUCUUCGGAUCGUAAAACUCUGUUAUUAGGGAAGAACAAAUGUGGAAGUAACUAUGCACGUCUUGACGGUACCUAAUCAGAAAGCCACGGCUAACUACGUG
rnacentral:rRNA from 1 species